UAUCAUCAUCAUCUUCUUCUCGUCUCUGCAACUCCAAGAAAAUGUGGAAAAUCAAACAAGUCACUGGUUUCCAUUAAAAUCGUUCACAAUUCCAUCAUACCUUCAAAAAGCAAUUCAGAAUCCAUUUCCAUAAGUCACUGGUUUCCAUUAAAACCACUUUUUCUCUAUUUAAGCAGUAACUUAUUUAGUAAUCUCAAACCCCAACACUCAAAACCAUAAUCAACAACUUUUCUGAUCCAAAAAACAUGAAUUAGUAAUAAAUCGAUAUUGAAUUUAACAAUAGUACUAAUAUUUCUUGUUGAGAACGUAUACGGGAAGGGAGUAAUGUAUGUUCAUAUUUAUUGAUUAUUAUGGUAUUGGUUGGUAGUGGUGACUGGUGAGUUUUAUUGAUUUGGUGGCAGCGGUGAAUUUUGUUGGUUAUGGUGAAUGUUAGUGGUGGUGAAGAAUUGAAUUUUUUUGCAAGUUAGAACUGAAAUUGUUAUUGUUGCCAUCAAUUUGUGUUGCUCAAUGGAGAGAAUUAUGAGGGAGAAAAGGAUACAAAAAGGCUGCAAACUCACAUCUUCAUCUGCUCAAAGACGCACAAAUACUCGCGGAAGAUAUUCAGUGAAAGUCCUGAACGAGCAGAACACCAAAAACUCAUUAUCGUUGGAUCAUUCCAUUUGUAACCGUAAGAUCAAGUUAAUUUGAUCACACUUUUUUUGAAAAGUCACGUGCUAACAGUGACUUAACGACGUUAAGUAUAUACUAUUUACUAAUUAUUUGAAUUAUUUA